GGUGGCUCAGUGGUAGAGCGCCUGCCUUGCAUGCAUGAGACCCUGGGUUCAAUUCCUCAGCACCA
rnacentral:tRNA from 1 species